rnacentral:rRNA from 1 species
GAUGAACGCUGGCGGCGUGCCUAAUACAUGCAAGUCGAGCGAACAGACGAGGAGCUUGCUCCUCUGACGUUAGCGGCGGACGGGUGAGUAACACGUGGAUAACCUACCUAUAAGACUGGGAUAACUUCGGGAAACCGGAGCUAAUACCGGAUAAUAUAUUGAACCGCAUGGUUCAAUAGUGAAAGACGGUUUUGCUUUCACUUAUAGAUGGAUCCGCGCCGCAUUAGCUAGUUGGUAAGGUAACGGCUUACCAAGGCAACGAUGCGUAGCCGACCUGAGAGGGUGAUCGGCCACACUGGAACUGAGACACGGUCCAGACUCCUACGGGAGGCAGCAGUAGGGAAUCUUCCGCAAUGGGCGAAAGCCUGACGGAGCAACGCCGCGUGAGUGAUGAAGGUCUUCGGAUCGUAAAACUCUGUUAUUAGGGAAGAACAAAUGUGUAAGUAACUAUGCACGUCUUGACGGUACCUAAACAGAAAGCCACGGCUAACUACGUG